CUAAGCCUCCAAUCCGGUCUAAUGAACCGAGUUGACCAGGUAAGCUCCCAGGUAAGUGGAGGGGUCACGAUGCGUUUGCAAAGGUCCCACUUAAAAUCCACUUGCCUCGAACAGAUGAACUGUCUCCCUUAUAGGGACAAAGCUUGCCUAGACAUCAACAAAGCCACAGAGCGAAAUUGGUACAACUUUCGGUGGUCUUCGUCCUAUUGAGCUCGAAUGUCCUUAGGGGCCAACAUCUAGUUGAUUUUAGUUAAGCUU
rnacentral:lncRNA from 1 species